rnacentral:lncRNA from 1 species
AUUUCAUUUUUUUUUUUUUAAGGAGAGAACAAUGCGAAUUAUAACAGGGACCUGUAUGCCUGCAUGUUUCCUGCACUCAUUGCAGACUGGCGCCAGACCUUUCACUCCGGCUCCCAGGGCCAGACAGAGCGUUUCUUUCCAUUUGGGUUUGUCCAGCUGUCUUCAUACCUGUUGAUGAACUCAUCAGAUUAUGGAUUUCCAGAGAUCCGCUGGCAUCAAACAGCAGACUUUGGCUCUGUCCCCAACCCGAAGAUGCCCAACACUUUUAUGGCCGUCGCUAUGGAUCUCUGUGACCGAGACUCACCUUUUGGGAGCAUCCACCCUCGAGACAAACAGACUGUGGCCUAUCGCCUGCACUUGGGUGCUCGAGCUGUGGCAUAUGGUGAGAAAAAUUUGACCUUUCAA